rnacentral:rRNA from 1 species
UACGUAGGGUGCGAGCGUUGUCCGGAAUUAUUGGGCGUAAAGCGCGUGUAGGCGGCUUUGCAAGUCGGGUGUGAAAGCCCUCAGCUCAACUGAGGAAGUGCGCCCGAAACUGCAGGGCUUGAGUACCGGAGAGGGUGGCGGAAUUCCCCAAGUAGAGGUGAAAUUCGUAGAUAUGGGGAGGAACACCGGUGGCGAAGGCGGCCACCUGGACGGUUACUGACGCUGAGACGCGAAAGCGUGGGGAGCAAACAGG